ensembl:lncRNA
UGGAGCUGAGGUGACAGCACUAGUGAAGGUAGUACUUGGAGCUGAGGUGCUGGUGACAGCACUAGUGAAGGCAGUACUUGGAGCUGAGGUACUGGUGACAGCACUAGUGAAGGUAGUACUUGGAGCUGAGGUGCUGGUUGGGAUGGUACCAGGAGAAGCACUAUACAGCUCCAAGGUCGUCCAAUCUGGAUUGUCAUGAUAGUUGGGGGUCGUGACGUUGGUAUUUGAACUGGGCGUUGUGACAUUUAAGGAAUUAUUUAAGGUGGUCUGAUUUGAACUGAGCGUUGUGACAUUUAAGGACAUAUUAAAGGCAGUCUGAUUUGAACUGGGCGUUGUGGCAUUUAAGGACAUAUUAAAGGUGGUCUGAUUUGAACCGGGCGUUGUGGCAUCUGAGGACUGAUUUAAAUAUCUGCUCAGAGCAUCCUUUGCUCCUUGAUCGUCCACACACUCGAGGAGUUUCUUCAGCUGGGGACACAUGUAUGAGUCAUUCCUCUGCUCUGCGGUGCCAUUGGUGCUGUUCUGAUUUGUCAUUCCUGUUGUGGAAUUCCCAUCCACUGUGGAAUACCCAUUCACUGUGGAAUAGCUGGGUGUAGUGGUAUAAGUACUGGCCCCCGCGUUAGGAUCACAUUUGAUCGGUUCCGGCCUGGGCUUUGAAACGGGUCGACCAGGAUACCAGUUCUGGAAGGUCACUGGAUCACCAUUGGCCCAGCGGGACCAUGGAAGCUUUCCCUCAAAAAAGCUGAACCACGUGCCGUUGGUGUCAUUUGACGACUGGAACCAUGGAGCGGUGCCACUGAACCAGUGGGACUCCGGGCCGGUGCUGUUGGUGGUGUUGGAUGCCACGGUUUCGUUGAGCCUCCUCCGCAAACCAACCCAGACAGCUCUGCUGCUGUUGUCCAGUUUCUCCAGCAUGUGGCGUGCGUCCUCGGCCGUGAUGGUGGCCAGCUCCCUGUAGCACACCUGGCAGUGCUGGCGAGCUAGUUCCCAGCUGGAAGCAUUGGACUGUAAGAAAUACUCACGCUUCGUCCAGCCC